rnacentral:rRNA from 1 species
AUAGGUGGGGCUACACACGUCAUACAAUGGCUGGUACAAAGGGUUGCCAACCCGCGAGGGGGAGCUAAUCCCAUAAAGCCAGUCGUAGUCCGGAUCGCAGUCUGCAACUCGACUGCGUGAAGUCGGAAUCGCUAGUAAUCGUGGAUCAGAAUGUCACGGUGAAUACGUUCCCGGGUCUUGUACACACCGCCCGUCACACCAUGGGAGCGGGUCUCGCCAGAAGUAGGUAGCCUAACCGCAAGGAG